GGACAGAUGGCCGAGCGGUCUAAGGCGUGCGACUCAAGCCCCCAAAGUUUGAACUGCCCAGCAGUUUGUUUUCGCAUAUCGUAAGAUGCGAGGGUUCGAAUCCCUCUCUGUUCA
rnacentral:tRNA from 1 species